GCUUCCUCCUCCAAGGCAACUUCGCUCCGCUGUGGGCUCUUGGCUUUGACAUGGACUCUCCUGCGAGACAUUCAAGAUGAGGAAGCUGAGACACAGUGAAUUUAAGCAAUUUGGAUCAACACAGAAUGUCAAUUUGCUAUUUAUAGCUGUCAAGUAGACCAGCCUUUCUGUCCACCUGACCCAGGCCAUCUCACCCCAUGGGCACUAUGCCCUCAGUUGCUUACUGGGCAUGGAAUCAGAACAAGAGAAGUCGGCUACUAUCAAGGAGCUCUCAUCUUUGAUGGCAGUCUGUAUAAGUAGGUGUCAUAUCCCCUGUGGAAAUUCUGGAAGAUUCUCUGGUCUUGGCUCCAUCCUUGGAUAUUCUGGCUUGGGGCCCGGGGCAUCUGCAGAAGUGAUCCUAUUGGUGAGAAAGACUCAGGGGCCCACUCUUCUGUUCAUCUCCAACUAUUUACAUUAGUGGGACUUCUAUCCUCAAGGGCCUGGAAACUGUCUGAAACCAGCCAGCAGAGAGGAAGGAGAGCAGAGCAAAGAUGAGGAAACUGAGGCUCAGAAGCAGAAACUCAUUGGAGGUAGCAUUGCUAGUAGGUGAUGGAAUGAAGAUUAGACUCAAUUCUGUCUGAUUCUGAAGACGUUGCUCUUUCUACUUGAAAACAUUUUCUCUUGAUUCCGUGUAUGAACAGGAUGAUGGAAUGGAGGACAUGUGGGAGUGGAGACAGAGUUAAGGUUUUUUGUUUUAAAUUUGUAAAAUUUGUAUAUGGCAGUUGUUACUUAUAAUACAGGCAUCUCAAGUAUAACAAUAUAUAUGCAUUUCUGAAAAA